GAUGAACGCUGGCUACAGACUUAACACAUGCAAGUCGAGGGGAAACGACGGGGAAGCUUGCUUCCCCGGGCGUCGACCGGCGCACGGGUGAGUAACGCGUAUCCAACCUGCCUCUGACUGAGGGAUAACCCGUCGAAAGUCGGCCUAAUACCUCAUGGUAUCGUCUGCGGGCAUCCAACGACGAUUAAAGAUUUCAUCGGUCAGGGAUGGGGAUGCGUCUGAUUAGCUUGUUGGCGGGGUAACGGCCCACCAAGGCUACGAUCAGUAGGGGUUCUGAGAGGAAGGUCCCCCACAUUGGAACUGAGACACGGUCCAAACUCCUACGGGAGGCAGCAGUGAGGAAUAGUGGUCAAUGGGCGAGAGCCUGAACCAGCCAAGUAGCGUGCAGGAAGACGGCCCUAUGGGUUGUAAACUGCUUUUAUGCGGGGAUAAAGUGAGGGACGUGUCCCUCAUUGCAGGUACCGCAUGAAUAAGGACCGGCUAAUUCCGUG
rnacentral:rRNA from 1 species